CCGACCAUAGCUCAGUUGGAAGAGCGAUGGACGGUUAUCCUCACGGAUAUCCUUAGGUCCCUGGUUCGAUCCCAAGUGGUCGGA
rnacentral:tRNA from 1 species